AUGAGAAAUUUACAUAUUCAGUUUGAUCUCCCUUGGCUAUGUGUGGGUGAUUUUAAUGAGAUUCUGUUUGCGGCUGAGAAGGAAGGAGGGCCGGCUCGGACCCAAGGCUGUAUGGAUGCGUUUCGGAGAACUCUGGAGGGGUGCGCGCUGGAUGAUCUAGGCUUUGUGGGUGAUCCGUUCACUUGGCUAGAGGGCUAUACGAGAGAAAGACUUCAUAGGGCAGUGGCCAACAUGGGAUGGAGAUGUUUGUUUCCACUACACCGAGUGAUCAAUGGGGAUCCGCGCCAUUCUGAUCAUCGUCCAAUCAUU
rnacentral:rRNA from 1 species